GGGGGUGACUGGUUUCGACUCCGAGCGGUUGAUCAGGGGAAGCGUGCCGAGGAAGGCGACGAUGAUCUCGAUAACCACCCGUCGCAAAGAAAUAAGCGCCGAGAACAGUACUCAGCGCGAGUUCCAGCUCGCUGCCUAAGUAGCGAGGUUGGACUCUGUCGGCCCGGGUUCGUUCCCGACCCGGUCGCCGGCAUCAGCUAGGGGACUCCACCUCCGGGCCCGGUCGCGGGGCCCGGUGGGACAUCGAACAGCGACUGGGGUCGUCACACCGGUGUGUCUGCGCAUCCGGUGGACCCGAGCAGAGACGGAGCAGACUGCGCACGGAGAAGUCCUGACAGGUGUUCGGAGGACCCGGGUUCGAUUCCCGGCACCUCCACC
rnacentral:tmRNA from 1 species